rnacentral:rRNA from 1 species
GGAUCAUUACUGAGUGUAAAAACUCCCAAACCCACUGUGAACAUACCACUGUUGCUUCGGCGGAUCCGCCCCGGGCGCGCCCUCACAGGCGUGCCCCGGAACCAGGCGCCCGCCGGAGGACCCAAAACUCUUUGUUUCUUAUAGAGCAUCUCUGAGUGUGAUUUUACAAAUCAAAUCAAAACUUUCAACAACGGAUCUCUUGGCUCUGGCAUCGAUGAAGAACGCAGCGAAAUGCGAUAAGUAAUGCGAAUUGCAGAAUUCAGUGAAUCAUCGAAUCUUUGAACGCACAUUGCGCCCGCCAGUAUUCUGGCGGGCAUGCCUGUCUGAGCGUCAUUUCAACCCUCGCGCCCGGCUUCUUGCCGGGGGCGGUGUUGGGGAUCGGCCGCCCGUCACUGGGAGGCCGGCCCCUAAAUGGAGUGGCGACCACGCCGUAGCCUCCUCUGCGUAGUAGUAACUAACCUCGCAGGCGGAGAGCGGUGCGGUCCGCCGUAAAACCCCCCAACUUUCUAAGGUUGACCUCAGAUCAGGUAGGAAUACCCGCUGAACUUAAGCAUAUCAAUAAGCGGAGGAAAAGAAACCAACAGGGAUUGCCUCAGUAACGGCGAGUGAAGCGGCAACAGCUCAAAUUUGAAAUCUGGCCUUUGGCCCGAGUUGUAAUUUGCAGAGGAUGUUUCUGGCGAGGUGCCUUCCGAGUUCCCUGGAACGGGACGCCAUAGAGGGUGAGAGCCCCGUACGGUUGGUCGCUAAGCCUCUGUGAAACUCCUUCGACGAGUCGAGUAGUUUGGGAAUGCUGCUCUAAAUGGGAGGUAUACGUCUUCUAAAGCUAAAUACCGGCCAGAGACCGAUAGCGCACAAGUAGAGUGAUCGAAAGAUGAAAAGCACUUUGAAAAGAGGGUUAAAUAGUACGUGAAAUUGUUGAAAGGGAAGCGCUCAUGACCAGACUUGGGCCGGUUGAUCAUCCAUCGUUCUCGGUGGUGCACUCUGCCGGUUCAGGCCAGCAUCAGCUUGGUUCGGGGGAUAAAGGCUUCGGGAAUGUGGCUCUCUCCGGGGAGUGUUAUAGCCCGUUGUGUAAUACCCUGAGCUGGGCUGAGGUACGCG